AGGUCAGAAUCUAAGGACUUCUGACUUGUCACAGAUUGAAAUAGCAUGGGUGGACAGGGCUGUCUUCUGAAGUGUUUCUCUGAAAGAUUCUUCUUUGGGUUACCUGGCUGCCACAGUCCAUUAAGCAUCCAACUCUUGAUAUUGGCUCAGGUUAUAAUCUCACUGGUUCGCGGGAACUACCCUGAGCUUUGUCAGCCCAGAUACUGCUUGGGAUUCUCUGUCUCCCAAAAUAAACUAAGAAAAAAAAAAGAAUCUUUUCUGAACACUGGAAAUAUAACUAGUAUCUGAAUUUAUGCUUAUUUUUAUCAACUAGGUAAAAGGUUUAUCAAUAGAUAUUGACCCUGCUUUCAACUGUUAGAACUAGUGACCACUAUGAAACUAAAAUCAUCAUUUUUUUUAGAUGGUCUCAAAACUAUAUUGGCUUACAUCCUACAAUUCUGAACAGGAUUGGAUUAUCUAUUGGUUCAUGUUGAAAAGACCCAGAACUAUUUACUAAAAAGUAAUCUUGGCUCAGUUUUCAUGCCUCUCACUUGACAAAUCAUAAGGAAAAGUAUGUAGUACUAUCAUUCACUUAGUUGCAUUUAUAAUUUUGACUAUUGACAAAGAAUCAGCAUUACAGAAUACAUAAGCACUGUAGCUUUUUAAUUGAACCAUAGCUCUCAAAGAUCAGCCUAACUUGUCCUCAACAAUAGGCAGAAUGAUUAGCAUGCCUGUCAUCUGUAAAUAUUUUUUGUGCAAUGAGUAUUUGCUCUGAUAUAUAAAAGUAACAUAUUGAAAAUGGCACAUACAUAGCAAACAAAACUGAUAGCAUUUGGGUUUGCAAGUAUGGAAGCAUAAUGCCCCUAUUUCUUGAGUUCUUUAUAUGUUAGUAAUUGUCUUGAAUUGUGUGCAUGGACUGUUUCAGGAGCUAGUUAAUGACUAUUUCCAAAGUCAUGUAUUUCAUGUAAAAAUCCAAGAAUAAAAUAAAUUACGGAGAGUAAUCAAAUGUGGUUAGGACUCCCCAGUACUUUUGUAAAAAUAACCUCCUUCUAAUUUCCUCCGAGUUGAGAAAGUACUUGAAUGGAUCUUCUUGUCCCUUUGGAAGAAGGAAUUUCAACACCCUCAACAUAGCAAAAAGCUUGGAAAGUUAUCAACCUUGAUUGAAGAUGAAAUGGUUUCUUCACAGAUGUGUUUGACUAUUGCUAAGCAUCUCAACAAAUCUUCAGCCUACAGACUUCCAGUCUAGAAAUGAUGUGGGGAUCAAGAAACUCGACUUUAACACUAUCAAGAAGGGAGGGUGUGGAAGAAGAGAGAUAGAGAAUAGCACACAGACUCAUUUUUUUUAUUCCCUACCAACUUGUGACUGUUGACACAGAGGCUGCCUUUGCUGAAAUUUACCAUAUUGAGAUAACUGAUUGAUCGUAUCACCAAAGAAUACAUGGUGUGUUUAAUACACAGGGAAGAAGUGGAGGUAAAGAAAUGGUCAGUGCCUGCACAGAGCUGUCAAGAACAUGUACUGCAAACCUCAUUUUGCCUUUUUUUCCCCAUUCAGUAGGAACUCUGUGAAUAAGAGAAGCAUAGAAAUGA